GACUUCAGGCCCAGUCACUGCCCCAUUAACUCAUUUGCUUUUGCUUCCAUUGCCAUGGGCUUUUUCCUUAACGACUUACUUAUACCAUAUGAUAUUACAAAUUUAUCAAGCCUUGGUUUUCUGGGGUUGUACCAUGGAUUCCAGGCAACUGAUGCAGCGGUGGAGAAGCAGACUUGUUGCCGUAUCACACUUCCAAGGAAGAGGAGAGCGUAUCAGGGCAUGCCACCAGCAGUCCAGGUGUUGUUAUGCAUGACCAACUGUCCUACUCUGAUUGUCAUGGUGGGUCUCCCAGCAAGAGGAAAAACCUACAUCUCGAAGAAGCUGACACGCUAUUUAAAUUGGAUUGGAGUGCCUACAAAAGAAUUUAAUGUUGGUCAGUAUCGUCGAGAUUUGGUGAAAAAGUAUAAAUCUUUUGAAUUCUUCCUGCCUGACAAUGAAGAAGGAUUGAAAAUCAGGAAACGGUGUGCCUUAGCAGCGCUGAAUGACGUCCGACAGUACCUCAGUGAAGAAAACGGGCACGUGGCUGUCUUUGAUGCUACAAACACAACUCGAGAACGUAGAGAAACUAUCUACAAAUUUGGUGAAGAAAAUGGAUAUAAAACAUUUUUUGUUGAGUCAGUAUGCGUAGAUCCAGAGGUCAUUGCUGCAAACAUUGUGCAAGUGAAGCUGGGUAGUCCUGACUAUGUUGAUUGUAGUAAUGAUGAAGCAACAGAAGACUUCAUGAAAAGAAUAGAGUGCUACAAGAACUCAUAUGAGACACUAGAUGAAACUCUUGACAAGGAUCUUUCUUAUAUUAAAAUUAUGGAUGUCGGAAGGAGUUACCUUGUGAACAGAGUAAUGGAUCACAUUCAGAGCCGGAUUGUCUACUACCUCAUGAAUAUCCAUGUGACUCCUCGAUCAAUCUACCUCUGUCGACAUGGAGAAAGUGAACUCAAUCUGAAAGGGAGAAUAGGAGGAGAUCCUGGACUGUCUGGCAGGGGGAAAGAAUUUGCCAAAAGCUUGGCACAAUUUAUUAAUGAACAGAAUAUCAAAGAUCUGAAAGUUUGGACCAGCCAGAUGAAAAGGACAAUUCAGACUGCUGAAGCCUUGGGAGUGCCUUAUGAGCAGUGGAAGGUUUUGAAUGAGAUUGAUGCAGGAGUGUGUGAAGAAAUGACAUACGAAGAAAUACAGGAAAAUUACCCGCUUGAAUUUGCACUGAGAGACCAAGACAAAUACAGAUACAGAUACCCUAAAGGAGAGUCCUAUGAAGACCUUGUUCAGAGACUGGAGCCAGUAAUUAUGGAACUUGAAAGGCAGGAAAAUGUGCUUGUCAUAUGUCACCAAGCUGUCAUGCGCUGUUUGCUGGCAUAUUUUCUUGACAAGCCUGCAGAACAACUGCCUUACCUGAAGUGCCCGCUGCAUACCGUCUUAAAGUUAACCCCGGUGGCUUAUGGAUGUAAAGUAGAAUCUAUAUUUCUGAAUGUUGAAGCUGUAAACACACACAGAGAUAAACCCGAGAAUGUAGACAUUUCCAGACCUCCCGAGGAUGCUCUUGUAACAGUCCCUGCUCAUCAGUGAAUCCUGUGUGCUGAUCAACUAUCAAACUUGGGGUGCUGUUUUCAUCCUAUUACUUCAAAAUAAAUUUAAAAACUAAUCAUUCCAAUCACUUUGAAAUAAAAAAGCCCCACCCAAACCCAACAACUCAAAACCUAAACCAAAUGUCUGUAGAUGUCAAAUGUCAAAUCACAAUAAAACUAUUUCACUGGUUAAUUUAUUGUGGAUGAGUUAUCAGACAUUGAUCGGCUGUCACUGGAAUGCUGGUUUUGUAAAUUGCUGUAAUUUAAAGAUCCUGCAGCAUUAAGUUUUGCUGAAACAGCCAGCAAUCGUUUAAUGUUAGUUGCAGUGUGUUUCUUUAUGGAAGCCACAAAACACAACAUCCUGUGUGAGAUAAGAAAAAGCUGAAGUUUGUUUUCUAGGCACAAGUAUUCUCUAUUUCAUGCCCCUGGGAGUGAUUGGACUGCUAUGUAGCAUAAAAUAACAAUCUAUAGUUCCUGCAAGACCUUAAUCCUGCUGAUCCAUAGCACUAGUGCUCUAGAUGUGCUAAUUAAUGAUGUGCUGUUUGAAGAGGGUACCAAGUUUUCACUUAGUUCCAGAACAAUUAUUCAAGGCCAAGAAUGUGUAUAAAUGUUUUUAAUAUAUGGCUUUGCUUAACAGCUGUUCUGCAUUAACUAGGCUUUAGGGUUUGCCCACUGGCAGGAGUUAUUUUAAAUUUCCUCUUCCUGCUUCUUGUUACGGACGUGGGUAACUGUCUACUUAGCACUUCUUUCUUAGUGAAUGACAGAUACAGAGAUUGCUUGUAGCAAGAAACCCAGCUCUCCUUUUUGAUUUUGUUGGGGAGAGGGGGAGAGGGAGUUGUUAGUGAAAGGUGAAUUUGCUUUCCGCAGUGUAAAACAAGGUAAGACUCAUGAAGCCCAUCAGCACAAAGUUGAAGAAUUGGCAAUUAUUUGGCCUAACGUGGGCCAAAUCUUAGAUCAGGAUCUUGUAAGGAACUUCAGAACAGUUUAUCAUAGUCUUCUUUCUUGGUAGAAGGGAGAAUACUUCUCUGCUGUAACUUCUCUGCUCUGUAAAUACAAGCAUUUACAGCCCUGCUGUGUAUGAUUUGUACGCAGAUUUUAUCUAGGUUACCAUAAGCAGUGCUGACUAUUUCAUAAUGCGGAAGCAGAGUUAGCCUGAUGAUUUUGUAGCUGGGUUGUGACUUCAGUAGGUGCGAGAUCUCAAACCAGCAGGGUAUGCAUCCUAAACUGAACUGUGGUAAGACCUGUGGCAGGCUGGAGAAGGCUGCAGCUUGUUUGAGAUGUGACAUGCCUUGGUUCCUUUCUCUGUGAUGCUAUGGUGGGCAAAAUGACGGAGUGGGAGGCAUCUGUGCCAUCGAAGCAGCUUUGUUUAGGUAGCGUUGAGUCUGGGAAAGGCAGAAAAUCACUUGCAUCCUGGAACUGUUUUCUGAGGGGGUCUUUUAGCCUUGAAAGUAAGCAAGAGUGGCAUGUUUUGGAAAGCUUUUAUAUGUUGGGUUUCUCAGGUGGUAUGUUUUUCCAAAACUGGGAUUUUGGAAAAAAAGUGUUACAUAUCUGCACUUCUAAAAUUACACUGAAGUUUUCAGUGUAAUUUGAAAUGUCUGAUACAACCAAAUUACCUCCUGGCCAGAGAGCUUUCUGCUGUACUGCUUGGUAUAUUUAAUUAAUCCAGUGUCCCAGGGGGAACCCAGAUUAUGUUCCUUUCUCUAUUGUGGCCAUGAUGUGGGAGCGUUUUGUCACUUUUCCAUGUUUAAUUGCCCCAGUCUCACUGUGAAAAACGCCACAGACAAGGAGGUCUGAGCCUGCUGUAUGCAGUGAGCGUGGUUGCUUUUAUCUGACAGUUUAGAUGAUGUUCCCAAGAGGUUGCAGAGACGCUUGGGCUGUCGGAGGAAAUGGAGGGGGAAGAUGGAAGGGGCAGGAACUUGGCCAGAGAGGAAAGCCAGGCUUGCCUUCUCUGUGGCUGGUGGAGGUGUAGAGAGGGAGACGGCAGAGGUGCCCAGGACCCUCCACCCUGCCAGCUGCUGCCAGCCAGCCCAAUUGCCUGGGGCUGCAGCUGGGUGGUGUUCUCUUUACUGAGUGUGAUGUUCAUUGUGCUGGUGUGUGUAAUGGAGUGAAGUGGAUAUUUAAAAGCAGUUUUGUGCUUAAAGGGGUCUCCUAUUACAGCAGGAUUGCUUAAUAGUUCUCUCUGGCGUUUUUCUUAUUAAAUGAAGGGCCUGAUGCUGGGUGUGAAGCAGCAGCAAGUUUGUUGUACAUCUUGCUGAGGGAAAGCUGUCUGAAUGUAGGUGUGGAUCGAUCAAGAGAAGAAGCUUUGAGGACAGUACCUAACCACCUAUAGCUCCAGUUCUGGGGGUGGCAGCCCUUCCUCCAGCACAAGAGUGUUAAGUAGCAGCUCAGGUCCAGGAGGAUGGAGAAGGUGUCGCUGAGCACCAAGCGAGUUGGAAUGAAUGCGCCUCCCCCCUUUGCUUUAAGACAUUUCAAAUGUGAUUCAGCUUCUUUGGAGAAAACCUGUAGUUGUGGAUAACUCCCAGUGCUGAAAGGUAUCAGUAAAAAGAUUUAUGGGAAGCAGAGUAGAGUUGGGUUUAGAUUUUUCAUAUGUAAAUUUGUGCAGUUUCAGUGGUUUUUUAUUGUUCAUCUGUGGAUACUGCAAGAUGUUAAUUGCCCAUGUCAAUUUUACUGUCAGAUUUUACUUUCUUUUUAAAGUGUGUUUCUGAGAGUUCCUCUUGGUUUUACUGUGAAUGGUUGCCUAGGAUUACAUGGCAAUUUUUUUUGAUGGUGUAAUUAACAUAGGUGAAAUUCUACAUUUUGAGCUUUGGAGGCUUUGUGUUGCAAAACUACUUAACUACUUUAAAUGAGGAAACCUGUCAGAUUUUGACAGCUUUUCUGUGUUUUAAAAUGAACUUCAGUAAGCAAACCACAACUUAAAAUUUUCCUGAAGUGGGGAGACUUGCCCUUUGCAAAAGAAAAGCAUUAAAGCUAGAUUUGCUGCCUGGAAGAUUCUGCUGUUUUAGCAACAUCUUAACAUUUUCCAGGAGCCAGCUGUAUUUUGGAGGGCAGUGGGGGACAUGAGUGUGAGUAGAGCUGGCAGCCUGGGUAAUGCAUUGAGAAAGAGCGAGAGAGAGACACACAUCCUUUCUGCUGCAGUUAAAGGCGGGGGUGAGCAGCUUUUCUGAGACUGGAAGGGAAAAGGAUAAGUACAUCAGGAAACAGUACAGAAAGGUUAGGUAGAGUUUAACCAUUCUAACAGCUCAUGCAAGAAAAACACCAGGUAAAUUCUGAAAUUAUUUUUAACGUGGUACACCUGCCUUGGGGUUUUUUUAAUUGUUUUUAAGCAUCUUCCACCAUCACAAUUCUUUGCUGCUCUUUUAUACCUUGUGAAACUCCAGCGCUAAAAAUGGAAUUUUUAAUGUCUGUUGAGGCCACCACCUUUUAACUGUACUAAAUCAGUGUGUAUUUUGUAUGUGUGUUACCGGACAACUGAAGUGAGCUGUCGGCGCUGCUGCUGGCUCUUAGUUCUGAAAUGAGAACUAUUCUUUGGACUGUGUUUUCUCUAAGGAUUUCUCUUCAAUUAAUCAAUCUUUUACUACAUAUGUUGUUUGGGUUGUUUUGCUAGGUUUUUUCUUUCUUUUUUCUCUAUUCCUGUGUGAAAUACCAGGCCCUCGUAACAUAGUUCUGCAGGCAAGGGCUAAAUUGUCUUUUGUUUGUGCAGGGUUUAUAAAAUAACGUGCUGCUAUUGUGAUUUUUUUUUUUUUGUAAGCUAAUUUCAGCAAUAUAUUCAGCUCUGGAAGUAAGCCAUACUGUAUCGCUGGGUUCCAUUUCAGAAGAGGAAUGUGUAGAGUUUAGAGUGACCAGAAACCCUUGCUUCAAGCGCUGCUGUCUAAUGCUUUGUGUGUGUGAUCCUUGUGUUAGGUAAUGCCCAUGUCAGAUCUUUAUUAAUUCAGCUGUGUCCGUAGUUGUGUGAGGAGAGACUGCACAGCGCUGCUCAGAAGAAUUAAUUUAUUGAUCUGUAGGUAACAAGGCCACCUUCGUGGCAAAACCGUAGAAGUAAUUUCCCCUCCUGAUUUGACACGAGUUCAGUGUGGGAAAGCUGUGCUGUGCUGCAGGCAGCCCUCACGCCACCAGCCCUCCACCGACCAGCUGUCACCAGGAGCUGUUCAACAGUUCUUAAAGUGAGAAAGUCAGAGUUUACCCGUAGUUACAGAAGGCAGAGUUACAGAAUCCUGGGAUUCCAGGAGAAUGGUACUAGAAAAGCAGGGUUUUACCGCCAGCUGUGGUACUUCUUCAGCUUUGAUCGGACCUGGUUGAAGAAAUAUGGUGGAAGGAAAGGUUUCCCUUAGCGAGAGCUGAGCCCAAGGGCUGCUUCUCUUUACUGGCAAGCACGGCUUGAGGUGUGUCCCCUCUCCUUUUCUUUGUUUUACCCCUCUCAACUUUCAGAAAUGCAAAAUUCCUGGAGGCUAAAUGUUUUAUGUAUAGUAGGUAUUUUUAUAGCCUGCUUUUGAAUAUACUGUGAUGAGUGUUUUACUGGGUUGAGUGUUCGGUAAAAAAAGUUGUAUACAAGUGUAAAUGAACUGUUAUGCUGAUACUUGAAAAAAGAAAAAAAAAGUUCUACCUUAGGAAGGUACUAAAUUGCUGACUGCAUCUGACCCAAGUGCAGACAAUGAAUGUAGAUUUGAAGCAAAUGAUGGGUUCUCCCUGGGGUAUAAUGGCCUUUCUGGAAAGGCCCUGUUAAGAACUGCAGAUGAUUGUCAUGGUCUAAAACCUGCAUACAUCCUCCUCCCCCCACCCCGACCUUGUGUAUUUGUACCCAUGUUGAUUUUACUGCCUUCUGACUGUUAAUGCACUUGCUAGCUCAGAUGUAGUCUCUCAAAUGGGAUUAAACUGUCUUUUCUUACAUUUUUGGCCUCUGUUGUAAUCUUUCAGACAAAUGUAAUCAUUUGACCUUUGAUCCAAGUAAUAAAGAUCAAAUGCUA